rnacentral:rRNA from 1 species
CUGGGCUUGACAUAUNCCGGAUCGGCGCAGAGAUGCGUUUUCCCUUGUGGUCGGUAUACAGGUGGUGCAUGGUUGUCGUCAGCUCGUGUCGUGAGAUGUUGGGUUAAGUCCCGCAACGAGCGCAACCCUUGUCUUGUGUUGCCAGCACGUUAUGGUGGGGACUCGCGAGAGACUGCCGGGGUUAACUCGGAGGAAGGUGGGGAUGACGUCAAAUCAUCAUGCCCCUUAUGUCCAGGGCUUCACACAUGCUACAAUGGUCGGUACAGUGGGUUGCUACACCGUGAGGUGGUGCUAAUCCCUUAAAGCCGGUCUCAGUUCGGAUUGGAGUCUGCAACUCGACUCCAUGAAGUCGGAGUCGCUAGUAAUCGCAGAUCAGNACCGNGCGAG